UCUUGUAGCCCACAUGGAACAUGUGACUAUAGGCUACAGCAAAGCCUACUGGGAAAUGGGGGCAGGACUAAGAAAUUACUCCCUUAGAGUUAGUCAGAAACAUAGUAAAUUGCUGAGGAGGUGGCUCUUGAGGUAACGAGUAAUAUAGGAAAGAGAAAUAAUAGUUCCUUGCAGACAGGAAGCCAGGGAAGGUGUCUGAGGAGGAUUUAUUAAAGGACUGCUAGGGAGACAGCCUAACUAGAACUGGUAUUGUAUAAAACAGGUCUGGGAAACAAUAAAGCAGGGCAGUUUGGGGUCUGUGUCUGUGCUCUCAGCUGCUUUAUGAUUUAGGGAUUCUAGGGGGGGCUCCCUGAGAGCUCCACUGUGAGAAGUGGUGCUGAAAUCUCUGCAAGACAGGGAGAAGAAAUCUGUGAACUCUCAACAAGCUACAAAGUACUAUUGGCACCCCUGAAGGCAAACGCACACAGACAUAGAGGAAAGGGGCUGACCCUUCUCAUAGGUAACCUGAAGAUCUGUUGAUGGAGUCCCUGCAAUGAGGGUUGAAGUACUCUGCUUUAUUAUUAUUAUAGCCUUUGUGUACCCUGGAAGGGAUGGACUCCUAAUUUGACUGGAGUGCUAAAGCACCAAAGCAUCUGAUGAAAGAAACUAAUCAGCUGUGCAUCUCAACAAGGAGGGUGAAGAGAGUGAAACCUGUCAAGUGGCCAGCAAGAAAGGAUUUUUAAGAGAGAUCUAACUCAGCGUGGAGCAGUACUAAUCGUUAAUUUGGUGGGGGAGGGGACGAAGAUGUUCUUCAAAGACGGGAGUUUGCCGGAUAAGGCAUGAUGUCUGAAGAUUUAAUUUGCAUUGUUAUGGCCCAGUUGUGGAACCCUUACUCAUCUUGAUGGACACUUACACACAAGAGUAUGCCUUUUCAUAUCAGUGGAACUACUUGCCUGAGUAGCUGCUGACCAACCAGACAAACCAGAGGAGGAGGGGAUUCAGAAUUGCAGAACAAGCCACAAUCUGUUUUAUUUAUCCCUGAAGUUACUGUGAAUCGGGGAGAGUUUUCUGACAUCUGAGAGACUGGAGGAAGCAUCUUUCAACCUCUGCUGACCCAGGCACCAGAGCACACAGGAGUUCUCCAUAGUACCCAACGCCAGAGUAUGCAUUUUAGGGUGAAAUUCAGCACUACAAAAAGACUGGCACAUUAGAGGGCUUAAGUCGUGUCAGUCCAUUGCACAAGGAUGAAUUUCAUGCUUUCAGACAUAGCAAUCUUCUACCAUAUAGGAUGCACUGUAAGAUACUGACUUGGGUGCCCUACUAACUGUCUCUAAGACUAAGUGUCUCUUCUUUGGUGAAACCCUUUUAUUACUCUGGGUGAAACUGCUAGCAAUAAAACAUAUUUAUUCAGUUUGAACUGACAAAGAGAGCUGCAGUUUAGAUAUUAUUAAGUGGGGAGGAAGGAGAGCCCAAUGGAUUAAUACUUCUAGAGUGCUGUAAGAUAAAGUUACAUUCCCGAUACCUGGACCAGUCAGUGUGGAAAUAUGUAUGUGCCUAACACCUAUAAAAGUUAAUGAAAACAGAGCAACUAUGUUUUAUGGAUGAGCUCUGAAUGUUUGAAAGUAUUUUAUGCAAAGCAAAAAGUGGGAAAAUUAAGGAAUUGUGAAAUAGCUCUCUCUUCAACCAUGAAUAAUGGCUGGUUCCAUCUGCUGUUAAUUUCAUUGAAAGUCUCAAGUCAGAUUCAUCAGUAUGCCCAGUCUAUCUUGCAUAGCUUUGGUGACACAAAAGCAGCUGUACACCUGGUUUAACUAGUGAUAUUGAAUAAAUUAUUGCCAAUUAAUAAUUUGGCCACUGGUACCAAAAUUUUGCCCUAAGGGAGCUGAGAACUGUUUUCAUUAAUAGAACAGUGUUUUAAUCAUUUAGCCAUUGGCAAAUUAAUGAGAACUGAGAUCUUCUCACCAUUCUUUAACUAAAGUUUACCUGUUUCAAUAAACACUAAUGAAAAGACAACAUGCAACUUCCUGAAAAGACUGAUUUCUCAUGUAUUCUAAUGGUGAGCUACCUUUACUGCAUCCUAAUCAGCACCAGACAACUCACAAUGAUAUCACUAAACUAACUAUCACUUUUUCUCCUCUCUUUAUAUAUGACCUGUUCUGCUCUUCCUUUAAUCAGAUGUAAGGAGAAGAAUAUAUAUUUUAAUUAUUUUGCAUUUUGCCUUUAAAAAAUUUCAUGAGGAGAAUGGCAAUGUCAUAAUAAAAAUUAAAAUUAAACAUUCAAUAUAAAAUCUGUCUUCACACAGAUCUUUGAGUAUGGAGCUUCACCAAAGUUUGUUGAUUUAACUGAAAUUCAGUCUUAGAGAUCCCUAUGUAAAUAUUCUCUCUCCUGGACAGGUAGACUAAUGCAUUUAUAUUACUUCUCACUCAGUUCAAGGCAGUGAAUUUAUUCUUUUGUAUAUUUUCAAAUGUAUGGUGUUUUCUCCAAUUGUCUGACAUUUUCAUUAUUAUAGCUCGUGUAACAUGUUUUUCAAAUUUUUAGACAAAAUGAAAAAGC